rnacentral:lncRNA from 1 species
UUGGCUUCCCUCUCUCCUGACUCUGGGAUCUUGAGUAAAUUACUCCAAGUCCUUAAGCCUCUGUUUCCACAUCUGGAAACUGAACAUACUAACACCGACCUCUCAGAGUUGUUGGGACAAUUAAUCAGGAACAUAUGUGGAAGCACAGUGCCAGGGACAAGGCAUUCAUUUGAUAAAUAGUGAUGUCUUUCCUUCCUUUCCCACCCCUUUUCUUCCUCCCUGCAGAGACACUCAAACUGGGAUUCUGGUCAUGGCCAGGUGACUGCCAUGAGGACAGAGGCAUCUGGCGUUAGUUCCUGGAUGAAGCUCUGAAGUCAAGUGGAUCCUAUACAAACCAGAAAGACAAAGGAAUAUGAGGAGACCUCAUCAGGAUGGAAAUCACAAUUUUAAGGCAGAUACAUGUUUUUGGAAGAUCAACCUUAUGCAAUAUUGAGUUCAUGAAAAUGAGGAGGUCUAAAAGUAGGGUGACCAACCAUCCUGGUUUGACAAAGACUGAUAGAUAUUUCCUGGGGUGCAGGACCUUCAGUGCUAAGACUGGGGAAGUUUCAGAAAAUGCACUGAUAGUGGAAAUCUAAAGUAUACUCAGAAAUAUGUUGAUCGUCUUAUCUAAAAGAUGGUGACAGAUUGUGGUAGCUAGUCUCCAAAGACGGUUCCCCAAUAAAUUAUACCUUCCUGAAUCUGUGACUUUGUGUAAUCCUAUCCCCUUGAAUCUGGGUUGACCUGUAGCUUUUAUUUUUUUUGAGAUAGGGUCUCAGUCUGUCACCCAGACUGGAGUGCAGUGGCAUGAUCAUGGCUUACUGAAACCUCAACUUCCCUGGGCUCAGGAGAUUCUCCCACCGCAGCCUCCC